UACGUAGGGGGCAAGCGUUGUCCAGAAUCAUUGGGCGUAAAGAGCGUGUAGGCGGCCCGGUAAGUCCGCUGUGAAAGUCCAGGGCUCAACCCUGGAAUGCCGGUGGAAACUGUCGGGCUAGAGUCCGGAAGAGGCGAGUGGAAUUCCUGGUGUAGCGGUGAAAUGCGCAGAUAUCAGGAGGAACACCAAUGGCGAAGGCAGCUCGCUGGGACGGUACUGACGCUGAGACGCGAAAGCGUGGGGAGCAAACAGG
rnacentral:rRNA from 1 species